AAUAGAUACCCGGGUAGUCCACGCCGUAAACGAUGGAUGCUAGCUGUUAGGAGUAUCGACCCUCCUAGUAGCGUAGCUAACGCGUUAAGCAUCCCGCCUGUGGAGUACGGUCGCAAGACUAAAACAUAAAGGAAUUGACGGGGACCCGCACAAGCGGUGGAGCGUGUUGUUUAAUUCGAUGAUAAGCGAAGAACCUUACCCAGGCUUGACAUCCCACUAAGGCCUCCGAAAGGAGACUGUGUCUUCGGACCGUGGUGACAGGUGAUGCAUGGCCGUCGUCAGCUCGUGUCGUGAGAUGUUUGGUUAAGUCCAUCAACGAGCGCAACCCCUAUGAUUAGUUGUAUUUCUCUAAUCAGACUGCCCUGGCAACAGGGGAGGAAGGAGGGGAUGAUGUCAGGUCAGUAUCUCCCUUACGCCUGGGGCUACAAACACGCUACAAUGGCCGGUACAAAGGGCAGCCAACUCGCGAGGGGGAGCAAAUCCCAUCAAAACCGGUCUCAGUUCGGAUUGCAGGCUGAAACUCGCCUGCA
rnacentral:rRNA from 1 species